ensembl:lncRNA
CUGAGCUUCACAAACUUAGGAUUUAUUGACAUGAAAUCAAAUGAUUUGUUAGGACGUACUGUAGUUUUGUCUCUGUAUUCUGGUCAGUUCCCAUGAUUGUAUCCUCUCAGUUUCACAUUCCAGCAGGAGGAUAUCUGUGCAUUUCCGCCUUUAGCGUAUGCGGAAGACCUAUCCAGUCAAAAACUCCACUUUGGUUGGCUGGAACGAGGGAAACCUCAGAGGACAAGUGGCCCUUUCCCAUGCAAACUGCAGCCAAUCAAAACAGAGGAAAACAACACAUUCCCAUCAGCCACGAGUGACAAACUGUGACCCCCGGAAAGUAUGAGUAAAUCCCGAUAUCAUGCCUUGUGUUGGAUGCUAGUGUUGGGAAGAGGGUUGCGAGCGUGGGCAAUGGAAUAAUUUAGCGCGAGAGUAUUGGUAUCUGUUGAUAUCUUUAUCUAAUCCCUGCUGUUUGGACAAUUACUAAGACGGCAUUUAUUGUUCAGUAUUCCGUGCACUCUUGGAUUUGAACUCAUCGCCCUCAAACGCUUUGGUUUCAUUAGUCAUCCAUUAAGUUCAUUAAAACUUUAUGAGUGUUUUCGACUUGCGUUUCAUAAGCAUGCUGCUACAACAAAAGUUUCAUUCUUUACAGAUCUGCAAUUGUUCCUCUUCCUGACUUCAAAAGAAGUUGCAUAAAACCAGUGUGGGAUAGAUGUACAAGCUGAGGGGGGCAUUGGAAACUGAGGACUAACACAAUGCUUAAAUGUGAGACCUCUAGCCAGGCCGGACAGGAGCAGAUGUUUCUCAUUAUACAUUGGCCGGCUCUGAGUUUGUUUGUGUUAUUUAAAUUGUUCAUGUUUUAUGAAAAAAAGAGGGGGAAAAUAAAAAUGCUAAAAAAAAAAAAAACUGUAGGUUGCUUAGAUUUGAAAGAUUGUCACUGUAAUUUGCCUUCAAGGCAUUGGUCCAUCAUGGCAGAUGGCCACGGAAUGGCAGACAUGAGCGGAGGAACGGGACUGUGAAAGAAAGGAAGAGAGAGAGUGGAAGGAACAGACAGACAUCUGAAUCUCACACUCCAUUUCUGUGAGGCUGCUGAAUUGGACCAUUAUCAACAUGGCAUUCUGUACUCAAGCUAACACAACAGUCUCCAGUCGAAAGCACUCCUCCUGAUUCCUGUGCCUUGCAUUUCACUCACACCGCACAAUAAAAUGAUACGAUUAAAGAAACUUUCA